rnacentral:sRNA from 1 species
GUUAUUAUCUCUCAUAAGCUUGUUGUUUUCUAAUGAGAGACAGAAUAAGAGUGGCUCUGGAGGGAAGAGAAGGUGGGGAGGAACUAGAGAGGAUAGAGGGAAGGGGAGCUAAACUCAAGAUCUAUUGUUUGAGAAAAUAAUCUGUUCUUUUAAAGCGCCUUCUCUUUGCAACACACAAUGACUACAGAAAACUACAAUCAAUCAGAAUGCAGAGUUGUGGAGCCUAAUUUAGUGGCUACAUCACAAACCUACUUCCACAUCUGACAAUCAGGAAACAGUUCAGAAGACAUGCUGGAGAAAAAUGACAUCUGUGGCUAAUACAGAUUUUGGCAACAGAAGUGGUUCUGGAGAAAUCAAAUUAAGUGAGGUAACCCAGUCCCAAAAUGGCACACAUGGUAUAUACUUACUUGCAAGUGGACUUUAGCCAUAAAGAAGAGGAUAACCACACUACAUUCCACAGAUCCAAAGAAGAUUGGACAAGGUGGUCAGAAAAUCAGACCCGAGUCUCCUGCUGCGAACCUAACAUUGAUGCCACUUGUGUCACUACUGGUUGUUGCGUGGACAUCUAAGACUCUGGACUUCCUCUAGAGUUGAGGCUGACAGCAUUCAAAUGCUAAUGAUGAUGUGAAACCACUCAGAUUCUCAACCCUUGCCGAUGGAAUAAAGGUUUCAAAGAUUCAAUAAAGAAUGAAUAAGACAUGGAAAUCUCAGGUCCAGAUCCUCGGGUCCUCCCACAGACUGAACCACCAAACGAAGUGUGAACAUGACCUGGACCUAGGCCCCCUGCAAGUAGAUAGCAGAUGAACAGCUUGGUUGUCCUGCAGGUCCCCCACCAACUGGGCCAUGGACUGUCCCUGAAUCUGUUGCCUGACUGUGGAGCUCACUCCCUUAACUUGGUCACUUGUUCUUAACUCAGUGGGGGAGGAAGCACUUAAUCCUGCAGUGAUUUGAUGUGCCCGGCUGCUGUGAUGGGGGUGGGGGCUCCCCUUUCUCAGAGGAGAAGGGCAAGAGGAAU